GACGAACGCUGGCGGCGUGCUUAACACAUGCAAGUCGUACGGUAAGGCCCUUUCGGGGGUACACGAGUGGCGAACGGGUGAGUAACACGUGAGUAACCUGCCCACAACUUUGGGAUAACGCUAGGAAACUGGUGCUAAUACUGGAUAUGUGCUCCUGCUGCAUGGUGGGGGUUGGAAAGCUCCGGCGGUUGUGGAUGGACUCGCGGCCUAUCAGCUUGUUGGUGGGGUAGUGGGCUACCAAGGCGGCGACGGGUAGCCGGCCUGAGAGGGUGACCGGCCACAUUGGGACUGAGAUACGGCCCAGACUCCUACGGGAGGCAGCAGUGGGGAAUAUUGCACAAUGGGCGCGAGCCUGAUGCAGCAACGCCGCGUGCGGGAUGACGGCCUUCGGGUUGUAAACCGCUUUCAGCAGGGACGAAGCUUUUUGUGACGAUACCUGCAGAAGAAGCACCGGCUAACUACGUG
rnacentral:rRNA from 1 species